rnacentral:tRNA from 1 species
AAAUCCUUUGGUUCAAGUCCCCUCUAUCCCCA